rnacentral:rRNA from 1 species
AUUGAACGCUGGCGGCAUGCUUUACACAUGCAAGUCGAACGGUAACAGGUUAAGCUGACGAGUGGCGAACGGGUGAGUAAUGCAUCGGAACGUGCCCGAUCGUGGGGGAUAACGCAGAGAAAGCUGCGCUAAUACCGCAUACGAUCUGAGGAUGAAAGCGGGGGACCGUAAGGCCUCGCGCGAUCGGAGCGGCCGAUGUCAGAUUAGGUAGUUGGUGGGGUAAAGGCUCACCAAGCAAACGAUCUGUAGCUGGUCUGAGAGGACGACCAGCCACACUGGGACUGAGACACGGCCCAGACUCCUACGGGAGGCAGCAGUGGGGAAUUUUGGACAAUGGGCGAAAGCCUGAUCCAGCAAUGCCGCGUGCAGGAAGAAGGCCUUCGGGUUGUAAACUGCUUUUGUACGGAGCGAAAAGGCUCUCUCUAAUACAGGGGGCUCAUGACGGUACCGUAAGAAUAAGCACCGGCUAACUACGUGCCAGCAGCCGCCGUAA